UAAGGGCGUACGGUGGAUACCUAGGCACCCAGAGACGAAGAAGGGCGUGGUAAUCGACGAAAUGCUUCGGGGAGUGGAAAUUGAGCAUAGAUCCGGAGAUUCCCGAAUAGGUUAACCUUUUUAACUAUCUGUUGAAUCCAUAGGCAGACAAGGGACAACCUGGCGAACUGAAACAUCUUAGUAGCCAGAGGAAGAGAAAGCAAAAGCGAUUCCCGUAGUAGCGGCGAGCGAAAUGGGAUCAGCCUAAACCGUUAAAACGGGGUUGUGGGAGAGCAAUCUAAGAGUUAUGCUGCUAGGCGAAGUCGAAAUAGUGGAAUACAGCACCCUAGAUGGUGAAAGUCCAGUAGUCGAAAGCAUCGUGACAGCUUACGCUCUAACCCGAGUAGCAUGGGGCACGUGGAAUCCCUUGUGAAUCAGCAAGGACCACCUUGCAAGGCUAAAUACUCCUGGGUGACCGAUAGCGAAAUAGUACCGUGAGGGAAAGGUGAAAAGAACCCCUAGAGGGGAUUGAAAUAGAAUAUGAAACCGUAACGCUUUCAAGCAGUGGGAGGA
rnacentral:rRNA from 1 species